CCAUGGACAAUGAUUGCUUCAACACCGCCGUGCGUAUGCUGGCAUGUGACGAGGGAGUACUGUUCACAGACCCUCCUGUACACUACAUGGAUCUACGAUUUUGUUCCAUGAUGCUAGAGUCAACACGAGGUCAGAAGUUUUGCGAGAAGGAAACUAUCCAGACGUUGGCAACAUUAUUUGAUAGCUGGCCUGGGAUGGACAACGACAUCUCAUCGUGCAACAAGGAAUGUGUCUGGCUAUUUUGUUUUUCAUUUUAUGCUCUGGUGGAACGGUAAAGAAUUGGUCAAGCCGAUUUGCCCGGUGAGUUUUGUCCGUUACAUGUUUUAAGACCUUCGGCGU